CACAGAGUUGGCUAGACUGGGCUCCCAAAGAUGGCGGCCGAGGUACUUCCGGUUGCUGCACCCGAGUGUCUGGCUCGCGCGUUCUAGGUAUAUAACUCUGUGGGUGAAACUCUAAAACUAAACCACUGAUUCACCUCUGUGUAGUAGUAGUUAGAACACCUAACUAUGAACCCGGGGCCCCAGAGCUGAUCCCAGCCUUAGCAGUUAGCACUCAGCUCACCUGACUAUUCAUCCUGUCUUCCAGGGCUUCAGUAAGUAGGGAAGAAAUUCAAUCAAUCAAUCAACAGAGGCAUAUGCCGGGAGGCACGUCACCUCACCCACUCUACAACACCAACCCCAGCAGUUCCUCUAGGCCAGUCUGCAUGCAGGCCUCCUUCCCAUCCUUGUGUAUAAUUUGAGAUUUUGGGCCAUAGUCUUAUAAUGGCUCAGUACAAGGUUGCAGAAUUGCUCCAUAAGAAAAUAAGGAAGAGUGAACAAAGAGCCAAUUUCUCACAUCUCACUUACUCACUCAUGUAUCUAUGUCAUAUAAACUCCCUUCCAUCAACCUCAAUUCACAACCAAUCUCAACCAUAAUCACCAUCAUCACUAUCACCACCACUUCAACAUUUACUAAUACUACCAUGUCCUGUAGGCUAACUCAAACUAUCACCACCAUCCUCACCAUCACCACCACCACCACCACCUCUAC